AGCUUUUCGAAUACCGUGCUGAGAUUUCGUCUGAUACCAACCCAUUAGGGCUGAUCAGACUGCCAAGAUAAGUUAAGUU
rnacentral:pre_miRNA from 1 species